rnacentral:lncRNA from 10 species
UUCUGUGUAUAUUCACUCCUCUGAAGAGGUUUGAAUAAAUGUUCCAAAAGACUAAUAUUCAAAAGAUUUUUUGAAAAGUAGAACAAAGCCAGACAAUUUAGACUACCUUGUUUCAAGACAAAGCUACAAUAACGAAGACACUGUGAUACUGAAAUAAGAAGAGACAUAUAGUUCAACAGAACAUAAUAGAGAGUCAAGGAUACGACCAUCAUAUGAAUGGUCUGCAUAUGG